rnacentral:misc_RNA from 1 species
GAACGCACAUUGCGCCCGCUAGUAUUCUGGCGGGCAUGCCUGUUCGAGCGUCAUUUCAACCAUCAAGCCCUAGGCUUGUGUUGGGGCCCUGCGGCCGUCCGCAGCCCCCUAAAAACAGUGGCGGGCUCGCUAUAUACCGAGUGCAGUAGUUUACUCUUCGCUCAGGACAUGUAGUGGGUUCUUGCCGUAAAACCCCCCAUUUUUUAAGGUUGACCUCAAAUCAGGUAGGACCACCCGCUGAACUUAAG